CGCGGAGGAGGCGCCGCCCCAGGGGGAGGAGGUGCCCGCUCGCCGCAGACCGCCCGCGGCAGAGGCCGCCCCGGUCGCGCCGCGGCGGGAGCGGCCGGCGGAGGCUGCGCGGCCGCGGGGGAGGGCCGGGGGAGGGGACGUCACCCCUGCCCGCCUCCUGCCGCCCCCCGCCCGCAGGCUCCCGAGCCUCAGUCGGCGCCCAGCAUCCCGCUGCCCCGGAUCUUCCCGCGGGCGCGCACCGGGCUCAACUCAGGCUCAGGACUGCAGGUGGACAUCUCCACUGCCCGGGAAUCACUGAGUGUGUGGACAGGACAGCCUCCUCGGAAGGCCGGCUACACAGAGUCCUGCCUCGGCAUGGGCCUUGACAUUGAGGCAGCCCCUCGGUCUGUGCUUGUCUGAGGGUGCUGCCCGUCAUGGGGGCAGCCAUAUCCCAGGGGGCCCUCAUCGCCAUCAUCUGCAACGGCCUUGUAGGCUUCUUGCUGCUGCUGCUCUGGGUCAUCCUCUGCUGGGCCUGCCACUCCCGCUCUGCCAACAUCGACUCCCUCUCCGAAUCCAGUCCCAACUCCAGCCCUGGCCCCUGUCCUGAGAAGGCGCCUCCACCCCAGAAGCCCAGCCAUGAAGGCAGCUACCUGCUGCAGCCCUGAAGGCCCCUGGCCUAGCCUGGAGUCUGGGACCUAAGUCCACCCCACCUGGAACCUGGAAUCAGGAUCCCAGGGGCCAGCCAGCCUGGGGUCCAGAACUCAGAGUCCAGCCUGUCUGGAGCUGGACCUAGCAGCCCAGAGUCUAGCCGGCCUGGCUCCAAGAGGGGCUCUGCUGGCCCUAGGUAGACAGGCCCGGGGUGGGGGUUCAUGAGUUGGUGCUAGGGCCAGGGCCAUCUGGACUCUGCUCCAUCCCCAGGGCCAGGGGCUGGGCUCACCAUCUCCCUAGGCCAAGCACCUCUAGGCCCUCGAAGUUGGGGAAGCAAACUGGAAUCCAUGGCAAUAAUGGGAGGGUGUCCAGGCUGGGCCCCUCCUCUGGUCCUCCUACUGUUUGCUGGGUAAUAAAUAGAACUAUGGCUCUACCCUGAGAUUUUCUCCUCUUCUUGGGGGCCCUGCUGUAGCAAAAUUAAAGGUGUGGGUAGGCUUCCAGGCAUAGGUUUAUUUGUGCAAAAUAGGAGGUAACUGUGGUUGAGGGUCAAGUCCUGGAGGGAGGUGCUGGGACUAGGGCUGGAGCAGGGUGCAGAUGCUGGGACCUGAUCAGGGGUGGGACACAUACUGGCUAAGGCUGGGCUGGGGUAUCAGGAUCAGAGGCUACAAGUACUGGGUUCAAGAAAUGGGACAGGCCCUAAGGCCAGGCCCUCACUUCUUGGUUUUCACUUCCCUCACCAGGUUCAGCAGUUUGUCCAAUUUUGCGAUCUCCACGGCUGGACCCUUCUGCACUUCCUGCCCCUUCUUUUCCUGGGGACAAGAAGGGAAGUACAUGUCGGGGAGGAAUGUGAGAGAUGGGCCCCCUCUCUCUGCCUCCUGGCACUACGUCCUGGGCCCAGUUUACCCCAGCGGUGCCCCGCCCGUCUCCUGCCCAGUUAGAUUCUGGAUCCCUGCCUGCUCCCACUUCCAAGGGAUCCUUCCCCAACUCAGGUUAGCUGAGGCUGGCAAGAAACAUCCAGCUCUGUUUCUGAACCUCAGAUGGAACCUGAUGCUAGGAGGAGUGAGAGAAGGUGUCCACCAACAGACCCUCAGAGGAACUAGCCUUUCAAGCCAGGGAAAGCUGUAGGCCAGGGCCUCUAACUGUUGGGACCACCCUUCCCAUGGGAAGGUCUCUGGCUGAGUCCUAACGAGUUAAGAGGUGUGUGUGUGUGUAGGGAGAAGAGUGUGGGCAAAGCCACAGGUGCCUUCACCUCAUACUCUUCUAAUACUCUGAGGUCAGGCUGGGAGUGGGGCGCCACCUGGGACCAGGCCUGCUGUGUCAGACGUACCCAGGGGAGGGGAGGGUGUCAGGAGACCAGAGAGGGCAGGUGGGGUAUCUGUGUGAUUCCAGGUGUACUCGGCUGGGACUGUGCCUCAGAAGACCAGAUCUUGAAUUUAUGACCCCUCACCCUUGCCUACAGGGUCCUCUAAUCCUUUAGCUGCUCCCAGCUCAGGGA